GCCUGAUGCAGCCAUGCCGCGUGUAUGAAGAAGGCCUUCGGGUUGUAAAGUACUUUCAGCGGGGAGGAAGGUGUUGAGGUUAAUAACCUCAGCAAUUGACGUUACCCGCAGAAGAAGCACCGGCUAACUCCGUGCCAGCAGCCGCGGUAAUUGA
rnacentral:rRNA from 1 species